CCUACGGGAGGCAGCAGUGGGGAAUAUUGGGCAAUGGGCGCAAGCCUGACCCAGCAACGCCGCGUGAAGGAAGAAGGCUUUCGGGUUGUAAACUUCUUUUAAGAGGGAAGAGCAGAAGACGGUACCUCUUGAAUAAGCUCCGGCUAACUACGUGCCAGCAGCCGCGGUAAUACGUAGGGAGCGAGCGUUGUCCGGAUUUACUGGGUGUAAAGGGCGUGCAGCCGGGAGUACAAGUCAGAUGUGAAAUCCCGCGGCUCAACCGCGGAACUGCAUUUGAAACUGUAUUUCUUGAGUACUGGAGAGGC
rnacentral:rRNA from 1 species